AAUGUUGCAUGUGUCAGGGAUUCCAUUCCGACGGGCAUGCGCGUUUUUCCGAGAAUAUUGUGUUCUCGAUUUCAACUUGACUCCGGUUAAUGUGGGUUAAUUCUGGCACGGCAUUGCGAUGGUCAGGUGAGCUGCGAUUGUUCGGAAUGUCCGAAAAUGCCAAGACACAUCGAAGAAGGAAUAAAGAAGCAGGAAUUUCAGCCGGCGCGUGAAAAUCCGAGAGGUGACACUUGUCCAAAUUAUCUUGCUGGAUAAACAAGCGCACUUACCGUGUUAUCAGAGGCAAACGAUGCCGGGAUCCAGGAUCCAGGAUCCAGGAUGCAGGAUCCAGCAGGACGAGCUGCCACACACACUCGCACUCGCCGAGGGUGAGAACAUAACCAGCAUUGUAAUCAAAGCAGGCGAAGGCUGCAGGAGCGCACAAAACUGACAUGCAGUUGACUCCAAAAGAGUCGUAGCCUCGCAGGACACGCGGCGGAGUCCUUUUGCCACCACCCUCCAUCCAAUGGACGCUCGGCAGUCAGAGUGUGACCGAGUCGACAGGAAAGAGGCUCUGCACUGUGAGAAAACUCUACCGCACGGCCGCCCACUAAAAGCUCCUUAAUGAAAAAGUAAUAGGAGAGCCCCAAAGUUUUUUCCGGUGCACAUGAGUGCGAGUGCGAAGCCUUGUUUGUGUGCGUCCGCACAGGCGACAGCUGCUGCAUAACCCAUACAACCCGUACAGCCCUUGCAGCCCGUGAAACCCGUACACCCAUGGAGCCCAUGGAACCCGUACAAGCCUCGCACUCAAGGCGAGUUGAAAAUGUUUAACACGAAAAGGAGUUAUCACGCUGACAGCCUAGCUGAAGCCCGGGGCCGGGCGUCAGAGGAUUCCGGGCACUCGCAGGAGUUGGUGGGUCAGGGGUCCGGAGUCCGGAGUGCCGAGUCCGGGAAAGUCGACGUGCCUCGCUGCAAAAUUAUGACAAAGUUCUGCGGAAGAAAAAUGCCGCAGAGGGCGUGGAAAAAAUGCUUUGAAAUGAAAUCCAGAAAAUAGGGUUCGCUUCCCCGUAAGACGCGUGAUGUGCUAAGCAAGUAAUGAUUGCCCGAGGAUAAGUCGUUGGCUCCCGAGAGAUGGAAAUGGUCUUGAAUUACUUUAAUGCCAGUACCAUAAGUCCUAGCCAAGUAUAGUUUUGGAAGUUGUGUCAUUAUAAGCCUACACCCUUACUGAGCUACAUGCUAAAAACUCUUAGAUCAGAAUCCUGAUAGUACUCACCCAGUUUAUUUGCUGAAAUGGGAUUACAAUUAGAAAAUAAUAGUAAUAGCACAAUAAAAUGACAAUGUUAUGCUUUACUGUUCUAUUUACAAUAAAUAUUACAAUAAGCACGCAUUAUAUAAUCCCUACGCGAUUAAAAAAUCUA